CAUGAUUACACUGCAAGUCGAACGGCAGCGGGGGAAAGCUUGCUUUCCUGCGGCGAGUGGCGAACGGGUGAGUAAUACAUCGGAACGUGCCCUGUAGUGGGGGAUAACUAGUCGAAAGAUUAGCUAAUACCGCAUACGACUGAGGGUGAAAGUGGGGGACCGCAAGGCCUCAUGCUAUAGGAGCGGCCGAUGUCUGAUAGCUAGUUGGUGGGGUAAAGGCCCACCAGGCGACGAUCAGUAGCUGGUCUGAGAGGACGAUCAGCCACACUGGGACUGAGACACGGCCCAGACUCCUACGGGAGGCAGCAGUGGGGAAUUUUGGACAAUGGGCGAAAGCCUGAUCCAGCAAUGCCGCGUGUGUGAAGAAGGCCUUCGGGUUGUAAAGCACUUUUGUCCGGAAAGAAAUGGCUCUGGUUAAUACCUGGGGUCGAUGACGGUACCGGAAGAAUAAGGACCGGCUAACUACGUGCCAGCAGCCGCGGUAAUACGUAGGGUCCAAGCGUUAAUCGGAAUUACUGGGCGUAAAGCGUGCGCAGGCGGUUGUGCAAGACCGAUGUGAAAUCCCCGAGCUUAACUUGGGAAUUGCAUUGGUGACUGCACGGCUAGAGUGUGUCAGAGGGGGGUAGAAUUCCACGUGUAGCAGUGAAAUGCGUAGAGAUGUGGAGGAAUACCGAUGGCGAAGGCAGCCCCCUGGGAUAACACUGACGCUCAUGCACGAAAGCGUGGGGAGCAAACAGGAUUAGAUACCCUGGUAGUCCACGCCCUAAACGAUGUCAACUAGUUGUUGGGGAUUCAUUUCCUUAGUAACGUAGCUAACGCGUGAAGUUGACCGCCUGGGGAGUACGGUCGCAAGAUUAAAACUCAAAGGAAUUGACGGGGACCCGCACAAGCGGUGGAUGAUGUGGAUUAAUUCGAUGCAACGCGAAAAACCUUACCUACCCUUGACAUGCCACUAACGAAGCAGAGAUGCAUUAGGUGCUCGAAAGAGAAAGUGGACACA
rnacentral:rRNA from 1 species